rnacentral:lncRNA from 10 species
UUAAAAUUGGGGUUAAUAAGAGUUAAAAUUGUAGAACCAGGAGGCUACAACAGGGUGAGAAAGCAGUCAUCCUCUCUGUGUCCUUGGAAAAUCGUGCAAAGCCUGUUUUUCUAAUAUAUUUGCUUACAUGUUAAGGUAAUGUGUACAGCCAGGAAUGUGUGUUUCGAUGUAGCUUUAGAGGCUGGAUUGCAAUUGCUGAGGUCUAGAUGCUGUUCUGGAAACAACAGAUCUAAUAGAAUGGAGGAGUUUUAGCUAUAACUGAAAUGGAUUAUGUCUGGAAAAAAUAGUUCAUUCUUAGGAGUAGCUGUGGCUAAAUGAACUUUGUGAUACAUGAGACAACACAGCUCUUGAAAUCUGAUUUUGCUAUUUCAAACUAAAAUACAUAUUUCACAUAACUAUAUAGUUUUACAAAAUAAUCUGGCAUGAGGAGAGAUUUCUUAAUGAGUACAAUAUAUAGUAUUUGGGUGAUGGAUACCCUAAAAACCCUGACUUUACCGCUACAGAAUCUAUGCAUGUAACAAUAUCAUAUUUAUACCCCAUAAAUGUAUACAAUUAAAAACCUUUAAACCUCUGUAGAUAAAAUGAUAUAGAAGCAAAGAAAUCUGGCUGAAUUGUUUCCCCCUGUCGGUAAAAUUGCCAGAAGCUCUGCUCAGUAUCUCAUCCUUACAGCCAGAGUCUAGGUUCUGAAAAUAGAGUUGUGAACAAGCUACCUUCAGGUAACUUACAUUAUAGUGGAAGGAAACAAGUCAUAAAUACAUAGGCAAAAGAUUAUAUGAUAUAAUGAAAUAUGUUGAUAAAUGUUAUGAAAAACAAAAAACUGGAUGACAAAGCACAGCAAUUGUACAAGCUACUAUGAAGUAAAGUAACUGCAGAAUUCUUUCUGCAAAGUGAUUACCUUCAUAUUGGAGUAAAUAUGCUCUGUGAAAAGAACAAAGAGUUUUUAUGUUAGAGAGUAACAUAGAAACUUCAGGUGUGGAUUUCUUAAAAAUAAUCUGGUUUUAGAUCUUCAAUUGCUA